rnacentral:rRNA from 1 species
UACGUAGGGGGCUAGCGUUGUCCGGAAUCAUUGGGCGUAAAGCGCGUGUAGGCGGCCCGGUAAGUCCGCUGUGAAAGUCCAGGGCUCAACCCUGGGAUGCCGGUGGAUACUGUCGGGCUCGAGUCCGGAAGAGGCGAGUGGAAUUCCUGGUGUAGCGGUGAAAUGCGCAGAUAUCAGGAAGAACACCCGUGGCGAAGGCGGCUCUCUGGAACGCAACUGACGCUGAGACGCGAAAGCGUGGGGAGCAAACAGG